rnacentral:rRNA from 1 species
AACAAGGUUUCCGUAGGUGAACCUGCGGAAGGAUCAUUACCGAGUUCUCGGGCUUCGGCUCGAAUCUCCCACCCUUUGUGAACAUACCUCUGUUGCUUUGGCGGCUCGAGAGCGCCCCGCGCGAUCGCGACCGCCAGAGGACCUCAAAACUCCAGUCAGUAAACGUCUACGUCUGAUAAACAAGUUAAUAAACUAAAACUUUCAACAACGGAUCUCUUGGUUCUGGCAUCGAUGAAGAACGCAGCGAAAUGCGAUAAGUAAUGUGAAUUGCAGAAUUCAGUGAAUCAUCGAAUCUUUGAACGCACAUUGCGCCCCUUGGUAUUCCGAGGGGCAUGCCUGUUCGAGCGUCAUUACAACCCUCAAGCUCUGCUUGGUAUUGGGCGCCGUCCUCCUGCGGACGCGCCUCAAAGACCUCGGCGAUGGCGUCUAGCCCUCAAGCGUAGUAGAAUACACCUCGCUUUGGAGCGGUUGGCGUCGUCCGCCGGACGAACCUUCUGAACUUUUCUCAAGGUUGACCUCGGAUCAGGUAGGGAUACCCGCUGAACUUAAGCAUAUCAAUAAGCGGAGGA